GCGGCGUCGGGCGGCAGCUGGCCGUCCUGUGGAUACUUGCCGGGGCCGAAGGCGGAGGGGGCGAGGCCGUCUCCGGGCGGGGGUUCGAACUCGUUCGAGAGGGCCGGGGCGGCCUCCGCCCCGAACUCCGGGGGGCCCGCGGGGGUGGCGGCGGCGGCCUUGCCGGGCCACAGGGCCUCGAGCUCGAGGUGGCCGGGGGACUCCUGCAGCUCUGACUCGGAGGGCGGGGAGAGCACGCAGCUCUGGGCCGGCGGGGGGGGCGGCGGCGGCGGCGGCGAACGGCUUCUCCGGGGGCACCAGGUCGCCGGCCCGAGGGGGACCGGCCGGGGGAGAGGCGAAAUAGGAGAUGCCGGCGUUGCCCGGCAGGUCGGAGGCAUCCAGCAGCGUCUGCAGGUAGCCCCCGGGGAUGACGGGCAUGCUGGUGGGGAGGCCGGCCGCCGGCGGGGGCGGCCCGGGCGAGCGGGCGGCCGGCGGGAAGGAGGGCUUCGGGGCGGGUUCCUCCGCCGGGCCUUGGGAGGGCUGGGAGCUGGGGGCGGCGGCCUGGGGCGGCCCGCGUUCUUGCCCCCGCUCCUCUUCCUCCUCCCCCUCCCGGUCCUCGUCCUCCCCGCCCUUCCCCACCCCGACCCCAGCCUCCUUGUCCCAGGGGCCGGAGCCCGCGUCUCGGUCCGAGGCGGCGGGGGAGGCGAGGGGCCCGGCCGGACCGGGCCGGCCCGCUUCCAGCCGGCGGACCUUGGCCUUCUUGCACUUCAACCGGGCUUCGCUUUUGAACUUGAUCCGCCUCAGCACCUUCCUCUCCGGGCCCGGGCCCUCGUGGGCGCGGCACUUCCCCGGGCCCCCCGGGUGGAGGCCGUUGGCAUAGCCGGACGGGGGCCCCAGGGCCAACGCCUGCAGGACGCCCCGCAGGCCGGCCUCGUCCCGGCCCCCGCCGCCGCCCCCCGGCUUCUGGUCGUAGCCCGAGGAGCCCGGCCGGCCCACGGCCUGUUCCACGGCCUGGAUGCGCUGGAUCCGGUGCCGGUGGGCCAGGGCGCAUUUCCGCUUGCGGGGGUGGGGCGGGAAGGGGGCCAGGGCGCCGUUCGGGCAGGCGCCGGGGCCGAGGCCCGGCGAGGCCCGGCCCGGGUCCGUCAGGCCGCCGCGGCGCCGCUCCUGCCAGAAGGCCUUGAGGGGCGCCAGCCUGGCGUACUGGCCGAGCCGGGCGUCGCUCAGGGUGACGGUGGCCUCGGCGGCGUCCACCUUGCCCAGCUUGACGAGCAUGUGCUUCUCGCCCUUGAAGCGGUUGAUGAUGAUGUACUUGAUGAUGACGGGCGGCUCCUUGCGGGAGGCUUUCCGCCGCUUCUUGGGGCACCACUCGUCGUCGUCCUCCUCCUUGAGCCCACCUGGGGUCCACUCCUUUUUCUCGGGCGCCUUCUCGCUCUCGAUCGAGUCCACGUCGUACAGGUAGUCGUCGCUGUAGCGGACCUUGCGCUUGACGCGCAGGCCGUAGUUCUGCUGCUGGAUGGACGAAGAGGAGGACGAGGAGGAGAAGGAGGGCGAAGAGGAGGACGAAGAGGAGGACGAGGCGGAGCCGGAGAGCGGGUCGGGGGCCAGGAAGCCGGCGUGGCCCCGGACGCCCGGCAGGGCGUCGAAGGAGGCCUCGGUGCCCGAGCUGUCGUCGCUGAACUCCCCCAGGUAGUCCGGCGAGUCCAGGAAGGGGCUCUGCGCUGA
rnacentral:lncRNA from 1 species